AUUGAACGCUGGCGGCAGGCCUAACACAUGCAAGUCGAGCGGAUGAAGGGAGCUUGCUCCUGGAUUCAGCGGCGGACGGGUGAGUAAUGCCUAGGAAUCUGCCUGGUAGUGGGGGAUAACGUCCGGAAACGGGCGCUAAUACCGCAUACGUCCUGAGGGAGAAAGUGGGGGAUCUUCGGACCUCACGCUAUCAGAUGAGCCUAGGUCGGAUUAGCUAGUUGGUGGGGUAAAGGCCUACCAAGGCGACGAUCCGUAACUGGUCUGAGAGGAUGAUCAGUCACACUGGAACUGAGACACGGUCCAGACUCCUACGGGAGGCAGCAGUGGGGAAUAUUGGACAAUGGGCGAAAGCCUGAUCCAGCCAUGCCGCGUGUGUGAAGAAGGUCUUCGGAUUGUAAAGCACUUUAAGUUGGGAGGAAGGGCAGUAAGUUAAUACCUUGCUGUUUUGACGUUACCAACAGAAUAAGCACCGGCUAACUUCGG
rnacentral:rRNA from 1 species